rnacentral:lncRNA from 1 species
AAAAUGACACUUUAAUUAUAGUGAAACUGGUUCAUUUAUUAGAAGUGAGGAACAAAAAUGCCAACAGACAGAUCAGAACUCCAAAAAUACUAAUUUUUUAUUUUUUUCCCCACAGGAUAAGGUACAUUAAUUUGGAAAUGUAUGCAAAAAAUAAACUUCAAGUGUUAUUCUUAUAGCAGUGGACAUUCAUGAAGGCAAUCAUACCUGACAUUGUGGUUCCUUUUUAGGCAUUUAAUAACUUGGAUCAUUAAACAUCAUUCACUCUCCAUUUUUCAUGACUCCUCAAGCUAGUCAUAAACUCCAUAGAAAGGAACAUGAACAAUGGAAUUAUUGCCUAAUUGUAGUUACAAUCUUUUUUCUCCUGUUUAACAUGUAGGUAUAGAACUAAUAUCAGAAACGUUAUUUUUCCAGUACUUUUGUAGUGAUUGACACCGUCAGUGAAUUAUUUUUAAAUCUAUGCUCUAUAAAAGAAGAUUCCUACAUAUGUAAAUUGGGUACACUGUGUUGCAUUUUGUUUUUUUUGAGACGGAGUCUGGCUCUGUCACCCAGGCUGGAGUGCAGUGGCGCGAUCUUGGCUCACUGCAAGCUCCGCCUCCCAGGUUCCCGCCAUUCUCCUGCUUCAGUCUUCCAAGUAGUUGGGACUACAGGUGCCCGCCACCACGCCCGUC